GACGAACGCUGACGGCGUGCUUAACACAUGCAAGUCGAAGGGAGUGGCGAACGGGUGAGUAACAAGUGAGUAACCUGCACUUUUAUGUGGGAUAAGACUGGGAAACUGGGUCUAAUCCUGACAGGAGUGGGAUGGGCUCGGGGCUUAUCAGCUUGUGGGUGGGGUGAUGGCUUACCAAGGCUUUGACGGGUAGCCGGCCUGAGAGGGUGGUCGGUCACAUUGGGACUGGGAUACGGCCCAGAGGCCUACGGGAGGCAGCAGUGGGGGAUAUGGCACAAUGGACGAAAGUCUGAUGCAGCGACGUCGUGUGGGGGAUGAAGGCCUUCGGGUUGUAAACUCCUUUCGCCAGCGGAAUGGUAGUGGGUAAAGAAGCGCCGGCUAACUACGUGCCAGCAGCCGCGGUAAUUC
rnacentral:rRNA from 1 species